AACGAACGCUGGCGGCAUGCCUAACACAUGCAAGUCGAACGAGAUCCUUCGGGGUCUAGUGGCGCACGGGUGCGUAACGCGUGGGAAUCUGCCCUUAGGUUCGGAAUAACAGUUAGAAAUGACUGCUAAUACCGGAGGAUGACGUUAAGUCCAAAGAUUUAUCGCCUGGGGAUGAGCCCGCGUAGGAUUAGCUAGUUGGUGUGGUAGAGGCGCACCAAGGCGACGGUCCUUAGCUGGUCUGAGAGGAUGAUCAGCCACACUGGGACUGAGACACGGCCCAGACUCCUACGGGAGGGAGCAGUGGGGAGUAUUGGACGAUGGGCGCAAGCCUGAUCCAGCAAUGCCGCGUGAGUGAUGAAGGCCUUAGGGUUGUAAAGCUCUUUUACCCGGGAUGAUAAUGACAGUACCGGGAGAAUAAGCCCCGGCUAACUCCGUG
rnacentral:rRNA from 1 species